rnacentral:lncRNA from 1 species
UGGGGAAAUGCUGGAGGCACCUCGCACCUUGGGAAGUUGUGACCCUCCUGUCAGGCCCAACCAGGAGCCAGAGUCCUGGGGAGAAGCCAAUAAUUGUGAGAUUCGAUGGCACCAAGGCAGGCCCUGUGUUGGAGCCUGGAAGGAGACACUUGUUUCCGCAUCUCUGAGGUGCAAAGUGUGAAGUCCCUUCCCACAGCUCCAUAGGACACUGGUGUGCGACCUACACAAUGCAGUGGGAUGGGGCCACUGGGAUCUUCCCCGCAAUCCCACACGGAAGUGACACCACGGACCCUGCCCCAAGUCCUGUAGGACGGCAGGCCCUGGCCCGGGCGGAUGGAGCGACAGGACACACAGUAAUGCUCUCUCUGUUCCCUGCACUGAAAUGCUGUCCCCACCCAUGCUGACACAGAGCCAAAACCAUGUGGUGGAGAACGGGACCUUCAACCUCACAUGUAACAGCUCUCUCAGUGCUGACACCCUGCUCUGGCUCCAGAACAUGACUUACCUUGCAACUGAUCAGCGGCUGGAGCUGUCCCCCAGUAACCGGACCCUCACAGUGCUUAAUGUCACCCGGGGUGACGCUGGUGCCUACCGGUGCGAGGUCAGGAACCCCAUCAGCACCAACCGCACUGAUCCCAGCUCCGUGACAGUGGCCUGUGAGUAACUGCAGCCCUGUUCCCCAGCCACAUUGUCCAUAGCCCUUCUGGCAUCACCCAGCCAUGGAGAUGCAGCCGCAUCUGGUGUGAGACAUGGGGGAUAUAUAAAUGGGGAUCCCUCACUGGCGCCAUCCCUCCCCCUGAUGCCUCCUUCUCUGUAGAUGGCCUAGACUCUGCCAGGAUAGACUUGCUUGGACCCAUCACCCUGGGGUCCCCUCUUACCCUGAUGUGCAUCACUGACUCUGUCCCACCCUCGCACUAUCUCUGGCUUCGCAACAGCACUGACCCUAAUGAGACCGGGAGCAGGUGGACCAUUAACCCCAUGACCUGGGAUCAGCAGGGCACGUUCGUGUGCCAGGCUCGCAACCCCGACACCAACCUCACUGCCCAGAUGUCUGUCACUGUGCUGGUCACAGGUGAGUCCCUGGGGAUGAUCCCAGUGCUGCCUCCCUGUCCAGCACCAGAAAAUGCCUUGCUGGGAAUCUCUAUCUUCAGACGUCCAGAGAAUGUCUCUGUCAGCCGGGGCCAUCUCUGGGAUCGUCAUUGGGACAGUGGCAGGGGCGGUGCUGGUGGGAGUCGUGGCCUAUUUCCUCUAUUCUCACCACCAGAGCAAAACCCCUCGGAGCAGCGAGAUGGUCCCCCCUCUGUAUGAGAACAUGCCCCCUGCAGCCCAGGUGGGCACAACGGCCCAACCCAGGAGCCCCCCCGACACCAGCUCCACAUACCAG